UGGUAGAAAUGGGAUAUACAU
rnacentral:siRNA from 1 species